rnacentral:rRNA from 1 species
AUGCAAGAUACACACCCUGUGGCAUAUUUGAGUAAGGCUCUCUCCCCAUGAAACCUUGGCCUCUCGGCGUAUGAAAAGGAAUGCUUGGCGCUACUGCUGGCCAUAGACCAUUAAUGACCAUAUCUUCAACAUUCAGAGUUCCUGAUCUGAACCGACCAGAAAAGCCUACUCAACCUUACUGAUCAGCGCCUGAACACCCCGAUUCAACAAUGAGCAUUUACUAAACUGGUUGGACUCCAAUUCCGCAUUCAAUACAAA